rnacentral:rRNA from 1 species
GUGUCAGCAGCCGCGGUAAUACGAAGGUGGCAAGCGUUACUCGGAAUUACUAGGCGUAAAGGGCAGGUAGGUGGUUUUGUAAGUCUGUUGUGAAAGCUCCCGGCUUAACUGGGAGAGGUCAACGGAUACUGCAGAACUUGAGUAUAGGAGAGGUUACUGGAAUUCCCGGUGUAGCGGUGAAAUGCGCAGAGAUCGGGAGGAACACCAAUGGCGAAAGCAGGUAACUGGACUAUUACUGACACUCAGCUGCGAAAGCUAGGGGAGCAAACAGGAUUAGAAACCCCUGUAGUCC